rnacentral:rRNA from 1 species
GUGCCUAAUACAUGCAAGUCGAGCGGACGGAUGGGAGCUUGCUCCCUGAAGUCAGCGGCGGACGGGUGAGUAACACGUGGGCAACCUGCCUGUAAGACUGGGAUAACUCCGGGAAACCGGGGCUAAUACCGGAUAACUCUUUUCCUCACAUGAGGAAAAGCUGAAAGAUGGUUUCGGCUAUCACUUACAGAUGGGCCCGCGGCGCAUUAGCUAGUUGGUGAGGUAACGGCUCACCAAGGCCACGAUGCGUAGCCGACCUGAGAGGGUGAUCGGCCACACUGGGACUGAGACACGGCCCAGACUCCUACGGGAGGCAGCAGUAGGGAAUCUUCCGCAAUGGACGAAAGUCUGACGGAGCAACGCCGCGUGAGUGAUGAAGGUUUUCGGAUCGUAAAACUCUGUUGUCAGGGAAGAACAAGUACCGGAGUAACUGCCGGUACCUUGACGGUACCUGACCAGAAAGCCACGGCUAACUACGUGCCAGCAGCCGCGGUAAUAC